rnacentral:tRNA from 1 species
UCCUCAGUAGCUCAAUGAUAGAGCGAUCAGUUGCUAACUGACUGGUUGUAGGUUCAAAUCCUACUUGGCGAGA